rnacentral:lncRNA from 1 species
AAAAUAAAAUUUAAUUUCUUGAGCAGAUAAAUAGAGAUAGUCUUAUUGCUAAAUAGAUUUUGGUAAUAGACAUAUAGUAAAUCUUGUCAGAUAAAUAUAUUAAUGAUGAAAACACAUGCAAUAAUGUCCUGUCGGAAAGUGGUCAUCUCUACAAUCACAACGAGGAUAUUCUUUCAUGUCAGCUAAGCAUUUUUUGCUUCCGU